UGGGCAAUCUGCCCUUCACUCUGGGACAAGCCCUGGAAACGGGGUCUAAUACCGGAUAACACUCUGUCCCGCAUGGGACGGGGUUAAAAGCUCCGGCGGUGAAGGAUGAGCCCGCGGCCUAUCAGCUUGUUGGUGGGGUAAUGGCCUACCAAGGCGACGACGGGUAGCCGGCCUGAGAGGGCGACCGGCCACACUGGGACUGAGACACGGCCCAGACUCCUACGGGAGGCAGCAGUGGGGAAUAUUGCACAAUGGGCGAAAGCCUGAUGCAGCGACGCCGCGUGAGGGAUGACGGCCUUCGGGUUGUAAACCUCUUUCAGCAGGGAAGAAGCGAAAGUGACGGUACCUGCAGAAGAAGCGCCGGCUAACUACGUGCCAGCAGCCGCGGUAAUACGUAGGGCGCAAGCGUUGUCCGGAAUUAUUGGGCGUAAAGAGCUCGUAGGCGGCUUGUCACGUCGGAUGUGAAAGCCCGGGGCUUAACCCCGGGUCUGCAUUCGAUACGGGCUAGCUAGAGUGUGGUAGGGGAGAUCGGAAUUCCUGGUGUAGCGGUGAAAUGCGCAGAUAUCAGGAGGAACACCGGUGGCGAAGGCGGAUCUCUGGGCCAUUACUGACGCUGAGGAGCGAAAGCGUGGGGAGCGAACAGGAUUAGAUACCCUGGUAGUCCACGCCGUAAACG
rnacentral:rRNA from 1 species